rnacentral:rRNA from 1 species
CGUAGGGUGCGAGCGUUGUCCGGAAUUACUGGGCGUAAAGAGCUCGUAGGUGGUUUGUCGCGUCGUCUGUGAGAUUCCGGGGCUUAACUCCGGGCGUGCAGGCGAUACGGGCAUAACUUGAGUACUGUAGGGGGAGACUGGAAUUCCUGGUGUAGCGGUGAAAUGCGCAGAUAUCAGGAGGAACACCGGUGGCGAAGGCGGGUCUCUGGGCAGUAACUGACGCUGAGGAGCGAAAGCAUGGGUAGCGAACAGGAUU